UUGCGACAUCAGCAUCAACGUGCUACAAUCUAAGGGCGCGUUUGUAAUUCGCGCUGGCUGUCGGUCAGAGCACUCCCGUCUGUCUGAACGUGGCAGGGCGCAGAAUAACUGACCCAUAACACGCAUCGAAUAUGGCCGGUGUCAUUAAACAUUAAACGCUCUGGAAAAAAUGAAAAACCCCUAACCAGCUCUGCUUGGGCGAGUAAAAUGGUCAGAGUGAGGUGUUCUCUCAUUUUUUUCUGGAAGUUACUAGCAAGCUAGCUAACUUUAGCCAGUUGGCUCGGGUGCUUGACUGCCGUUGUGAGCCUAGAACGCUCGGAUCAACCCUACUCCUCUGCCGGAGCGUCCAGUGUGCAGCCCGAGAGCAAAACGCUCUGAAUUUACGAACCGAAUAGAAGACAGACAGUAUUACUACCACAGUGUAAUCUCUGUGUUACUUUCAUUCAUAUAUAGGCCUUGUUACUGAUUGAUUACUACAUUGUAUAUUAAUUUAAUAAGUGAAAUAGGAUGGUGCAUCGAAAAUAGAAACAAGUGGCCUAUCUAAUCGUAGAGCAAUCUGCAGUUUGUCUGUUUUGCUUUGCCCUAUUUUACAUGUAGUACGGUAAUCGCGAAAUCAAGUUUGUCCAUUUACUUUGCUGUACAAUAUGUCGACGUUCAACAAGCCAACGUGGCUGAAUUUGGUGCAGCAGCUCUUUCUCUAUUACAACAAUGGCUAGCUAAGAUCUGACAUAACAACUACCUCAAAAUGCUUCCAGUAUCCUACUGACAAAGGGUGAAAAUGUAUAUAGCGAUGGGAGUGUUGAACAACACACAGCAGCUUGCUCAGAAAGCUGGGAAAUGGUGGACAAGCACAAGCUCUUUCUCAGUAUCUAGAUCAUGGCUAUCUACUGUACCCCAGAUAGGGGACCAAAACAUCCUGCUAAUGGGUCUGGCUGGAACAGGAAAAACCUCAGUGGGGCGUGGAAGGUGCCAUGGCUGACAAGCUGUCAGAGGUGAACGUUUCCUGGAAGAAGAGGGGCAGGUUGUGUGCAAAUUCUCCACUGCUGGCAGUGUCAUCUCCAUAACUGGAUCCAACCCACUCCACUCUGGGGCUAUGCAGCACCUCAAACACACUGGACUGGUAGUGUAUCUAGAUGUAGCCACCGAUGACAUCAUACAGAGGCUCUCCAUGAUGAAGAUGAACAGGAAUGUGGGCUGGGAUACCAGAACUCUGAUUCGGAGACCACUGUGUCAACCAGGAGUUUUAACGGAUUAUCUAGUGAUUCAAAAUACUUCAGUGAAGUUGUUGUUGAGGGUUGAGCAGACAUGCCCUAUCCUGAACGAGCCAUCCUUGAAAAUUGCAAUACACCCCAUGGAUAUCCUUGGUACAGAUCUCAGAAGAAUGGUGUUCAGAGCUUACGGGGUUAACUUUGCCAGCAAGACCAUUGCACCAGUGAAACCUCGGUCAUAACCAGUUUGUGCAGGAGCUCUUCCACCGCCCCACUGCUGAGUGAGAUCGAGAAGCUACAGAUGACAGGCUACAAAGAGGGCAACGCUAGGGCUGUCAGUGUCCAAUCGGACAAUAUUUGGGGAUUUAGGUCUAACAGGACACUUGGCUGUGGAGUAUGGCACUGUCAUCAGUACCUCUAACCAUCACCCGGGCAUGGCUGCUACCACAGGCCAGCAGUCCGAGAACAUCCAGGCAAACAGAUGGUUGACUACGAUGAGGAGAAACGACGUGCUCUUUGUUUAUGUUGGAAAGGAGUCUCCACUCAAGGAAGGGGCUCCGGAUGUUUCUUCGAUUCAGAGCAUAGCUUCCAAGAGCAGAGUGAGAGAUAUUACAAUAUGUAGCAAUACAAUAGACGUUGUUUUGGUCAAAUACAAUCAGACAUGUUAGUUAACAUAAAUAUCACUAUUAACAAAUAGUUAGUGGAAUAAACACCCACCAAGCAAGAAUAAAAAAAGGGGGAUGGGCUACAGUUGAAACGACACAGUCAACACGCACUAGGUUGAUGUGGGGAGACGCUCAAACUCUCCCAGCUCCAUCAGUGCUCAAGAAUCAUACAUCGUUGAUGUGUCUACAGCUAGCAAGCUACUCAGCUCUCCUCAGGCACAGGGCCUAACCUCUGGGGCUAUAGGGGAGAUGGGAAUCACGAUCUCAAUAUAUGUCAUGAUACAAACCAUAGAAAAUAAUUCAGAAUGAUUUUGAUGAUGUAGAUUGAUGUUGAUGAUGGUGUGGAAUUAGGAACUACAGUUUUCCUGGUCAAGAAGAAAAUCAAGGCCCUACAAUCAAUUAUUACAUCACUCACAGAUUCAUUUGAUAGUAAAUUAUGUCAAAUGUUAAUUAAGGAAUUCAGUGCCUGAAAUCAUAGUAGCAUUCAUAUUUUCACAGUGUGUUGAUGGACAUUUGAUAACGAUUAAAAGACACAUUUACCCCAGUCAAUUUCAAGUAGUUAAUUUGCCCUUCAGAGGUGUUAUAAGAAAUAUGUACAUUAGAAUUAUUGUUUUUUGCUCUCACAUAGUACAGUCAUGGCCAAAAGUUUUGAGAAUGACACAAACAUGAAUUUCCACAAAGGUUGCUGCUUCAGUGUCUUUAGAUAUUUUUGUCAGAUGUUACUAUGGAAUACUGAAGUAUAAUUACAAGCAUUUCAUAAGUGUCAAAGGCUUUUAUUGACAAUUACAUGAAGUUGAUGCAAAGAGUCAAUAUUUGCAGUGUUGACCCUUCUUUUUCAAGACCUCUGCAAUCUGCCCUGGCAUGCUGUCAAUUAACUUCUGGGCAACAUCCUGACUGAUGGCAGCCCAUUCUUGCAUAAUCAAUGCUUGGAGUUUGUCAGAAUUUGUGGGGUUUUGUUUGUCCACCCGCCUCUUGAGGAUUGGCCACAAGUUCUCAAUGGGAUUAAGGUCUGGGGAGUUUCCUAGCCAUGGACCCAAAAUAUCGAUGUUUUGUUCCCCGAGCCACUUAGUUAUCACUUUUGCCUUAUGGCAAGGGGCUCCAUCAUGCUGGAAAAGGCAUUUUCGUCACCAAACUGUUCCUGGAUGGUUGGGAGAAGUUGCUCUCGGAGGAUGUGUUGGUACCAUUCUUUAUUCAUGGAUUAGGCAAAAUUGUGAGUGAGCCCACUCCCUUGGCUGAGAAGCAACCCCACACACGAAUGGUCUCAGGAUGCUUUACUGUUGGCAUGACACAGGACUGACGGUAGCGCUCACCUUGUCUUUUUCUGAAAAGUUUUUUUCCGGAUGCCCCAAGCAAUCGGAAAGGGGAUUCAUCAAAGAAAUGACUUUACCCCAGUCCUCAGCAGUCCAAUCCCUGUACCUUUUGCAGAAUAUCAGUCUGUCCCUGAUGUUUUUCCUGGAAAGAAGUCGCUUCUUUGCUGCCCUUCUUGACACCAGGCCAUCCUCCAAAAGUCUUCGCCUCUCUGUGCGUGAAGAUGCACUCACACCUGCCUGCUGCCAUUCCUGAGCAAGCUCUGUACUGGUGGUGCCCCGAUCCCGCAGCUGAAUCAACUUUAGGAGACGGUCCUGGUGCUUGCUGGAUUUUCUUGGGCGCCCUGAAGCCUUCUUCACAACAAUUAAACCAAUCUCCUUGAAGUUCUUAAAUGGUAGAUUAGGGGGCAAUCUUACUGGCAGCAAUAUCCUUGCCUGUGAAGCCCUUUUUGUGCAAAGCAAUGAUGACGGCACGUGUUUACUUGCAGGUAACCAUGUUUAACAGAGGAAGAACAAUGAUUCCAAGCACCACCCUUCUUUUGAAGCUUCCAGGCUGUUAUUCGAACUCAAUCAGCAUGGCAGAGUAAUCUCCAGCCUUUUCCUCGUCAACACUCACACCUGUGUUAACGAGAGAAUCACUGACAUGAUGUCAGCUGGUCCUUUUGUGGCAGGGCUGAAAUGCGGUGGAAAUGUUUUUCAGUUAAUUUCCAUGGCGAAGAGGGACAUUGCAAUUCAUCUGAUCAAUCUUCAUAACAUUCUGGAGUAUAUGAAAAUUGCCAUCAUACAAACUGAGGCAGCAGACUUUGUGAAAAUGUAUAUUUGUGUCAUUCUCAAAACUUUUGGCCACGACUGUACAUACACAUACAGUUGAAAUUGUAAGUUCACAUACACUUAGGUUUUUCGAACCACUCCACAAAUUUCUUGUUAAAACCUCUUUGGACUAGGGGGCAGUAUUUUCAUGUCUGGAUGAAAAGCGUGCCCAAAGUAAACUGCCUGUUUCUCAGGACCAGAAGCUAGGAUAUGCAUAUAAUUGGUCGAUUUGGAUAGAGAACACUCUAACGUUUCUAAACUGUUAAAAUAAUGUCUGUGAGUAUAACAGAACUUAUUUGGCAGGCGAAACCCUGAGGAGAAACCAUCCAGGAAAAAAACAAUUGAGAUCACUGUGUUUUCAAUUGGGUUUCUAUAGGGAACUAAAUUUGUGAGGCACCUGGUUACAGUUCCUAUGGCUUCCACUAGAUGUCAACAGUCUUUAGAAAUUGGUUGAUGUUUUUCCUUUGAGAAAUGAAAAAGUAUCCCUUUCCUUCCUAAGUUUCAAGCCAAGUGUACUUUUUUUAGUGCGCAAGACCUGGAACUGGCUCAACUUUCAUUUUAUCCGCUAUUGAACACAGUAUAAUCCGUCUUAAAUUUUAGCGAUUAUUUACGUUUUAAAAUACCUAAAGAAGGAUUAGGAAAGUCGUUUGAAAUGUUUGGACCAAGUUUACAGGUAACUUAUUAUAAACUGUGUAGUCAUGUUGGGCGAGUUGGAACCAGUGUCUGAAUCAAACGCGCCAAAUAAAUUGAUGUUUUGGGGCUAUAAUAAAGGAAUUUAUCGAACAAAAGGACCUCCUACAGGGAGGAAGUGAGGACUCUGGGAGUGUGGUGCCAGGAAAAUAACCUUUCACUCAAGUCAACAAAACAAAGGAUGAUCGUGGACUUCAGGAAACAGCAGAGGGAGCACCCCACAUCCACAUCGAUGGGAACGCAGUGGAGGUGGAAAGCUUCAAAUUCCUUGGCAUACACAUCACUGACAAACUGAAUUGUCCACCCACUCAGACAAUGUGGUGACAUUUGGCUUAACGCCCAAAACCCUCACAAACCUUUACAGAUGCACAAUUGAGAGCAUCCUGUCGGGCUGUAUCUCCGCCUGGUACGGCAACUGCACCGCCCUCAACCGCAAAGCUCUCCAGAGAGUGGUGCAAUCUGCCCAACGCAUCACAUGGGGAAAACUUCCCGCCCUCCUUGACACCUACAGCACCCUAUGCCAUAGGAAGGCCAAAAAGAUCAUCAAGAACGUCAACCACCUGAGCCACUGCCUGUUCACUCCGCUAUCAUCCAGAAAGCGAGGUCAGUACAGGUGCAUCAAAGCUGGAACCGAGAGACUGAAGAACAGCUUCUGUCUCAAGGCCAUCAGACUGCUAAACAGCCAUCACUAGCACAUCAGCGACAUAGAUAAGGAAUCACUGGCCACUUUUAGAAAUGGAUCACUAGCCACUUUAAUAAUGUUUCAGUAUCUAGCAUUACUCAUCUCAUAUGUAUAAACUGCACUCCACACUAUUCUACGGUAUCUUAGUCACUUUUCAGUAAUAUUUACAUAUUGCAUCACCCAUCUCAUAUGUACUGUAUUGUAUUCUAUACUACACCACUGACAACAGCCAUCUCCAGCACACCAGAGGCUGCUGCCUAUAGACAUAGAUUAGAAAUCACUGGCUACUUUAAGGAAAUGAAACACUAGCCGCUUUAACAAUGUCUCUGUAUCUUGCAUAACUCAUCACAUAUGUAUAAACUGUACUCUAUACUAUUCUACGGCAUCUUAAUCACUUUAAUUGUGUGUAAAUAUUGCAUCACCUAUCACUGUGUUCUAUACUAUGUACCUGUAUCUUAGUCCAAUGCCGCUCUGACAUAAGACAUAUGUAUAUAUUCUUAAUUCAUUCCUUACUUAUAAAUCACACCAAUACGUUUCUGUGAAGAAGGAGGCAGGGUUAGUGGGGAGUUCGGGGAGUCUAACAUACACAAAAAGGAUAUACAUUUUCUUUGAGAAAGCACAGCGAGAGAGCAUCAGUGUUAUUCUGCUAUUGUGUGCCUUGAUUGAAAUGGCACCUCUUUCACAGGAAACUAGGUCUUGUGUCAUGUAACAUGUUAGGAUACCAAUCAAUGCUUAUAUAGUACGAGUUGGUCUCCAUUCCUUUCGUUGGCCUCAUGGAUGGAAAUGACUACAUCAACAGCCUCAUUAGGGGAUGAGUGUCUACUCUCCUCCUCCUCUCAUCUACCUCUCUGCUUAUUUACCUCCUCUUCUGUACUUCCUUUUCUCCUCCUCCUCUUUCACCUCCUCUUCUCCUCCUUCUCAUAUUCCUGUUUUCUACAGCCUCCUCCUCACCUCCUCCACCCACUCUCCCUUCACAGGUUUUUUAGGCUACCGCAGUAACCAGACAAUGUCGGACUCCAUAAAGCCACGAUUUAAAGUCGGCCCCCACCAUUAAAAUGCAUUCUUAUGUAUCUGUCAAUUAUCCGGGAGUGACUGUCAUUUUCUUUUUAAUGGGCUUGUCAAUUUUAACACUGUGCUAGCUCCCUGCCAGGUUUAACCUUGUAUGAAUACUGCUGUUUAAAAGAGAAUAUAUGAGUCCUAUGAAACUG